rnacentral:tRNA from 1 species
GCACGGAUGGCCGAGUGGUCUUAACGUUAUAGUUUCACUCCAUGGGUCAGUGGUUCGAGCCCAGUUUAGGGUU